rnacentral:rRNA from 1 species
GACGAACGCUGGCGGCGUGCCUAAUACAUGCAAGUCGAGCGAAGUUUUUCUGGUGCUUGCACCGGAAAAACUUAGCGGCGAACGGGUGAGUAACACGUAAAGAACCUGCCUCAUAGACUGGGACAACUAUUGGAAACGAUAGCUAAUACCGGAUAAUAGCAUUAACUGCAUGGUUGAUGUUUAAAAGUUGGUUUUGCUAACACUAUGAGAUGGCUUUGCGGUGCAUUAGCUAGUUGGUGGGGUAAAGGCCUACCAAGGCGACGAUGCAUAGCCGAUCUGAGAGGGUGAUCGGCCACACUGGGACUGAGACACGGCCCAGACUCCUACGGGAGGCAGCAGUAGGGAAUCUUCCGCAAUGGGCGAAAGCCUGACGGAGCAACGCCGCGUGAGUGAAGAAGGAUUUCGGUUCGUAAAGCUCUGUUGUUAGGGAAGAAUGAUUGUGUAGUAACUAUACACAGUAGAGACGGUACCUAACCAGAAAGCCACGGCUAACUACGUG